rnacentral:rRNA from 1 species
UACAGAGGGCGCGAGCGUUGUCCGGAAUCACUGGGCGUAAAGGGCGCGUAGGUGGCUGGCAAAGCGUGCGGUGAAAGCCCGGGCUCGAACCCCGGGUCGGCCGUGCGAACUGGUCAGCUCGAGCAUGGUAGAGGCGGGUGGAAUUCCGGGUGUAGCGGUGGAAUGCGUAGAGAUCCGGAAGAACACCGGUGGCGAAGGCGGCCCGACUGGGC